AGGAUGCAGCUUGCGUCUCUGGUUGUCAAUAUUCACAGAAGCCUCCAAUCAACUUGUGGUUAGAUCUGCUACUGCUACUCCCAGACGUUCCUGUUGGGGCCUGUCAGUCACAGGGUAAAAGAACCGGAGGAUCAAGUUAGUGCAGGUCUGCCCAUUCUUCCAAAAGGGAAGCCAAGGAAUACUGAGCAUCGAGUUUUUUUUCCCCAAGAUUCCAUGGACUGAUUAAAGGUCCAGUGUGGUGAGGCGUGCCUUUAAUCCCAGCACUAAGGAGGUGCAGGCAUGUGUAUCUCCCUGCGGCUGAGAAUUGAAAAUAUCCUGGCUGAAUCGCUGAUGGGUUCUGGUAUCUGCUGAGAUCACGGCCAUUUUAAAAUAAUCCCU